rnacentral:rRNA from 1 species
AACGAACGCUGGCGGCAUGCCUAACACAUGCAAGUCGAACGUGAUCCGGGGCUUGCUCCGGUGAAAGUGGCGGACGGGUGAGUAACGCGUGGGAACCUGCCCUUUGGUCGGGGAUAACUGCGGGAAACUGCGGCUAAUACCCGAUGUACCCGAGAGGGGAAAGAUUUAUCGCCGAAGGAUGGGCCCGCGUCGGAUUAGGUAGUUGGUGGGGUAACGGCCUACCAAGCCUUCGAUCCGUAGCUGGUCUGAGAGGAUGAUCAGCCAUACUGGGACUGAGAUACGGCCCAGACUCCUACGGGAGGCAGCAGUGGGGAAUAUUGGACAAUGGGCGCAAGCCUGAUCCAGCAAUGCCGCGUGAGUGAAGAAGGCCUUAGGGUUGUAAAGCUCUUUCGGCGGGGACGAUGAUGACGGUACCCGCAGAAGAAGCCCCGGCUAACUCCGUG